rnacentral:ncRNA from 1 species
UUUAGCCACUAGGGGUGCAUCGAUUCGAUGCUGAGAAAGAGCGCACUCUUGACCCUUAGAACCUGAUCUAGUUCGUACUAGCGGAGGGAAGUGGUAUAUGCACUUA